AAGACAUAUCUCUCUAUGAUUACGGGGCGAGAUGAAACGGGGGGGUCAAAAAGCCCCCAAGCGGGCGUGAAAAUCCCCCUUCGGGGCCUUUCCUUAGUUCGCCCCGGUUUUAUCCGACGCGGCUGUCCUUCUCUCCAAAGUCCCUUUGAACAUGGGGCCACAGAUCCGAGAAAGGGUGCAAGUCCUGUACGAGUGGCGGCGGUGUCGGUCGAUCGUUCCUUGGAGUCGGGUUGCCUGAGAAACGCAGCCUUAAGCGGGUGGUAAACUUCAUCUAAGGCCUAAAUAUGGCCUACGAGACCGAUAGCAAACAAGUACCGUGAGGGAAAGUUGCAAAGAACUUUGAAGAGAGAGUUCAAGAGUGGCGUGAAACCACUGGGAGUCGAAAACGGGAUAGCGGUUUGACGUAAACGGGGGCCAGCCAUUUCAACCCGAAUCCCCCUCGGGGGCUUCGGUGCACCUUUGUUUGCCCCCGUAAAGCCGCCUUGAAGUUGCGGUUUGAACGGCCGUGCCGUCGGAAACCGGAACCACGAUGUUUGCCCCCACCCUCCGGGUGGGCUGCUCCUUUGCCGUUGUUCCGGGCGUAAGGUUGUUGUUCCGCCCGGGCCUUAAAUGGUUUAAUUUCCGGUGGUGGCAAAGGUUCAAAUCCACCCUAUUCCGAACCCCGCCUUUGAAAACCACCGCGAAUUAA
rnacentral:rRNA from 1 species